rnacentral:rRNA from 1 species
GGACUACUGGGGUAUCUAAUCCUGUUCGCUACCCACGCUUUCGUUCAUCAGCGUCAAUAAGUACGUAGUAAUCUGCCUUCGCAAUUGGUAUUCCAUGUAAUAUCUAAGCAUUUCACCGCUACACUACAUAUUCUAAUUACUUCCAUACUAUUCAAGUCUAGCAGUAUCAACGGCAAUUUUACAGUUAAGCUGCAAGAUUUCACCACUGACUUACUAAACCGCCUACGAACCCUUUAAACCCAAUAAUUCCGGAUAACGCUCGGAUCCUCCGUAUUACCGCGGCUGCUGGCAC